rnacentral:rRNA from 1 species
GUGUGACAGGGCUAUCCCGAGUGCCAUCCGCUGAGGAAGGCUUUUACCCAGUCUAGAAAGCUGGGGGAAUAAGGAGAGGGCAAGUCUGGUGUCAGCCGCCGCGGUAAUACCAGCUCUCCGAGUGGUGUGGAUGUUUAUUGGGCCUAAAGCAUCCGUAGCUGGCUAAGUCAGUCCCUUGUUAAAUCCACCGAAUUAAUCAUUGGAUCGCGGGGGAUACUGCUUGGCUAGGGGACGAGAGAGGCAGACGGUAUUUUCGGGGUAGGGGUGAAAUCCUAUAAUCCCGGGAAGACCACCAGUGGCGAAGGCUGUCUGCUAGAACGCGCCCGACGGUGAGGGAUGAAAGCUGGGGGAGCGAACCGGAUUAGAUACCCGGGUAGUCCCAGCUGUAAACGAUGCAGGCUAGGUGUUUGGACGGCCACGUGCCGUUCUAGUGCCGCAGGGAAGCUGUUAAGCCUGCCGCCUGGGGAGUACGAUCGCAAGAUUGAAACUUAAAGGAAUUGGCGGGGGAGCAC